AUUGAACGCUGGCGGCAUGCUUUACACAUGCAAGUCGAACGGUAACAGGCCUUCGGGUGCUGACGAGUGGCGAACGGGUGAGUAAUGCAUCGGAACGUACCCAGAGGUGGGGGAUAACGCAGCGAAAGCUGUGCUAAUACCGCAUGUGAUCUGAGGAUGAAAGCGGGGGACCGAGCAGCAAUGUUUGGCCUCGCGCCUUUGGAGCGGCCGAUGUCGGAUUAGCUAGUUGGUGGGGUAAAGGCCUACCAAGGCGACGAUCCGUAGCUGGUCUGAGAGGACGACCAGCCACACUGGGACUGAGACACGGCCCAGACUCCUACGGGAGGCAGCAGUGGGGAAUCUUGGACAAUGGGCGCAAGCCUGAUGCAGCAAUGCCGCGUGAGGGAAGAAGGCCUUCGGGUUGUAAACCGCUUUUGGCAGGAACGAAACGGUGUCCGCUAAUACCGGGCGCUAAUGACGGUACCUGCAGAAUAAGCACCGGCUAACUACGUG
rnacentral:rRNA from 1 species